AUUGAACGCUGGCGGAAUGCUUUACACAUGCAAGUCGAACGGCAGCACGGACUUCGGUCUGGUGGCGAGUGGCGAACGGGUGAGUAAUACAUCGGAACGUGCCCAAUCGUGGGGGAUAACGUAGCGAAAGCUACGCUAAUACCGCAUACGAUCUAAGGAUGAAAGCGGGGGAUCGCAAGACCUCGCGCGAUUGGAGCGGCCGAUGGCAGAUUAGGUAGUUGGAAGGGUAAAGGCCUACCAAGCCGACGAUCUGUAGCUGGUCUGAGAGGAUGAUCAGCCACACUGGGACUGAGACACGGCCCAGACUCCUACGGGAGGCAGCAGUGGGGAAUUUUGGACAAUGGACGCAAGUCUGAUCCAGCCAUUCCGCGUGCAGGAUGAAGGCCCUCGGGUUGUAAACUGCUUUUGGACGGAACGAAAAGCGCUAGGUUAAUACCUUGGCGUCAUGACGGUACCGUCAGAAUAAGCACCGGCUAACUACGUGCCAGCCGCCGCCGUAA
rnacentral:rRNA from 1 species